rnacentral:rRNA from 2 species
UACGAAGGGGGCUAGCGUUGCUCGGAAUCACUGGGCGUAAAGGGUGCGUAGGCGGGUCUUUAAGUCAGAGGUGAAAUCCUGGAGCUCAACUCCAGAACUGCCUUUGAUACUGAGGAUCUUGAGUUCGGGAGAGGUGAGUGGAACUGCGAGUGUAGAGGUGAAAUUCGUAGAUAUUCGCAAGAACACCAGUGGCGAAGGCGGCUCACUGGCCCGAUACUGACGCUGAGGCACGAAAGCGUGGGGAGCAAACAGG